UGUUAAAAAAAUGUGUUUCAAUCAACUUCAUCAUCUUUCAACAGCGAGUAGUAAGCUACAUAAUUAAAGCAGACAUCCAACAGAUACCAGUUAGUUUUUUUUUUUGGCAUUUGCUCCUGCGUCUUAAAGGCUGUUUAGAUGAGCUGAAACUAAUGCUAUUUUCAAGUAGCUAUCAUCAUCAUUACUAUUUGUAUUAACUAUCAACUGCUGUGAAAAAACAUUUUGUAAUUGCACCUUUUAGAACCGCUGUUCCCUUUUUCAAAACUGUCUCAUGCAGUGACUUUUAGCAUAAAUAAUACCUGACAAAUCAGCUUUAAAACAUUUGAAUAUUUUUCUUGUGUUGUGAGGUUUGAAUGCUAUUAAAGUGACUGAAUGAAACUGCCAGAUGGGACAGUUAGGGGUGAAUGAAAGGCUGGUAUGGGGGUUGCACAGUGCACGCUGAAAAAAAAAUGUGUCAUGUAUGAUAUUUAUUUACAUAUUCAUUUUAAGAUUUAUAUACACGUUCAGACUACACAACCAUUUUUUUGUAUUUAUUUAAAAUUGGUUCAGUGUUGAGCAACAGUCCAACCGUUUUCUGCUGAUACACCAACCUACCUUACACAGGAAAACUUCAAAAUUACAAAUUCUGAUAAUGUGAACUUAUACAUGCCUUUUCCCUUUGCUGUGUAUUAAGGCUGUAAAAUAUGAAAUGAAAUGGCAGAGCAGAUCAUGCUACUAGCUUGCAUUGUUGUACUGUCAGGAAGAACUGGGAUGUAAAUUGACAUGCUGGAUAAAGUACUUAAUAUCAUUCCUGUAGAUAUUGUUUGCCUUAUGGAAACCUGUGUUUUCCCUAAAGACAGAGCCUUAGUGAAUGUACAGAAAUUAGCCUUUUGUGUUCAGUUGGAUGCAGAAGAAAACAUAUUUGCUACCUAGUCCUUUUAAGUGGACAUGUUGAUAUGUGUUAAUAAAAAAGCUGAAGGAAU